UACAGGGGGGCAAGCGUUGUUCGGAAUUACUGGGCGUAAAGGGCUCGUAGGCGGCCGGCUAAGUCCGACGUGAAAUCCCCAGGCUUAACCUGGGAACUGCGUCGGAUACUGGCGGGCUUGAAUCCGGGAGAGGGAUGCGGAAUUCCAGGUGUAGCGGUGAAAUGCGUAGAUAAUCUGGAGGAACACCGGUGGCGAAGGCGGCAUCCUGGACCGGCAUUGACGCUGAAUAGCGAAAGCCAGGGGAGCAAAACGGGG
rnacentral:rRNA from 1 species